rnacentral:lncRNA from 1 species
CAAUACACUCUCUUUAGGUCUCGAUACAUCUUGGUGGCUCCGGGGUGAACACUAUACCUUGCAUUAUGAGCUUCCCUCAUAAUGUCUUCCUUCAGACUGCUAUUAUCUGGUACACAAAGUCGACUUCCAAAAUGAAGGAUCCCUUUGCUGUCAAAUCUGAACUCUGCACUGUUGCCUGACUGAACAGUCCUGGCAAUUUUCAUCAACUCAGGGUCCUCGUGCUGUCUCUGUGCUAU